rnacentral:lncRNA from 1 species
UAAAUAAAAUACAAAAAAGGGACUGGGAAUGUGUCUCAGUGGUUGAGUUCCCCUAGAUUCAAUCCCCAGUACCAAAAAAAAAACAAACCAACCAACCUGAGAGUGAUUUCAGCUAGGUGGAUACCUAGGGAUUGAGAAUUCGUUUUAAAAGAGUUAUGUUCAUUUUUUUUAAAAUUGGUGCCUUAAAUUAUACAUAAUGAUCGCAUUCUGAUAAAAGGAGAACUACUAAAAUUUUAUGACUUCAUGAUAAAAAUGUAGGAGCAUAUUAUUCAUUCAUCAAAUACUUGCUGAGCAUCCUAUAUAUACCCAACACUGUAUGUUAAAAGAUACAGCUUUGUGGAGGCUUACAGUAUACUAAAAGGGACUUAUGUAUAACCAGCCAAUUAUAAUGUUUCCGCUGUUUAUCGGCAUGGUGACGAGUUCUUGCUUACCCGAAUGCUGAAGUAUAACAUCAGAGAAACACACCAAGGCAAGUUUAGAGUGGAAAGGAGAAGCUUUAUUAAAGAACAGCAGAAAGGACUUCUCCCCAGAGGAAGAAGGGGACCCAAAAGGCAGAAUCCGGAAUCCCUGGAAGAGGCAGGUCUUCCC